UUUUGAUUUUGGUCGCCAACGAGUGGCGGACGGGUGAGUAACACGUAGGUAACCUGCCCAGAAGCGGGGGACAACAUUUGGAAACAGAUGCUAAUACCGCAUAACAGCGUUGUUCGCAUGAACAACGCUUAAAAGAUGGCUUCUCGCUAUCACUUCUGGAUGGACCUGCGGUGCAUUAGCUUGUUGGUGGGGUAACGGCCUACCAAGGCGAUGAUGCAUAGCCGAGUUGAGAGACUGAUCGGCCACAAUGGGACUGAGACACGGCCCAUACUCCUACGGGAGGCAGCAGUAGGGAAUCUUCCACAAUGGGCGCAAGCCUGAUGGAGCAACACCGCGUGAAUGAAGAAGGGUUUCGGCUCGUAAAGCUCUGUUGUUAAAGAAGAACACGUAUGAGAGUAACUGUUCAUACGUUGACGGUAUUUAACCAGAAAGUCACGGCUAACUACGUGCCAGCAGCCGCGGUAAUACGUAGGUGGCAAGCGUUAUCCGGAUUUAUUGGGCGUAAAGAGAGUGCAGGCGGUUUUCUAAGUCUGAUGUGAAAGCCUUCGGCUUAACCGGAGAAGUGCAUCGGAAACUGGAUAACUUGAGUGCAGAAGAGGGUAGUGGAACUCCAUGUGUAGCGGUGGAAUGCGUAGAUAUAUGGAAGAACACCAGUGGCGAAGGCGGCUACCUGGUCUGCAACUGACGCUGAGACUCGAAAGCAUGGGUAGCGAACAGGAUUAGAUACCCUGGUAGUCCAUGCCGUAAACGAUGAGUGCUAGGUGUUGGAGGGUUUCCGCCCUUCAGUGCCGGAGCUAACGCAUUAAGCACUCCGCCUGGGGAGUACGACCGCAAGGUUGAAACUCAAAGGAAUUGACGGGGGGCCCGCACAAGCGGUGGAGCAUGUGGUUUAAUUCGAAGCUACGCGAAGAACCUUACCAGGUCUUGACAUCUUGCGCCAACCCUAAAAAAAAGGGCGUUUUCCUUCGGGAACGCAAUGACAGGUGGUGCAUGGUCGUCGUCAGCUCGUGUCGUGAGAUGUUGGGUUAAGUCCCGCAACGAGCGCAACCCUUGUUACUAGUUGCCAGCAUUAAGUUGGGCACUCUAGUGAGACUGCCGGUGACAAACCGGAGGAAGGUGGGGACGACGUCAGAUCAUCAUGCCCCUUAUGACCUGGGCUACACACGUGCUACAAUGGACGGUACAACGAGUCGCGAACUCGCGAGGGCAAGCAAAUCUCUUAAAACCGUUCUCAGUUCGGACUGCAGGCUGCAACUCGCCUGCACGAAGUCGGAAUCGCUAGUAAUCGCGGAUCAGCAUGCCGCGGUGAAUACGUU
rnacentral:rRNA from 1 species